AUUCUUACUUAGCAAAAUAUGAUGAGUGUCAUCUUUUGAUCGGUAUAAAGACUACCUGGAGAAAGGCAAUUAUUAAUUUUUUUUAGUAGUCAAAUGAUUUCUGCUUACGUGUAAGUCCAUUUAAUGCCAUACUAAUUUCCUUUUUAUCGUAUCUAUGACUCAGUGUUAGAAAUAUGCGCACCUUAAUCAGGUUUCAUGCUGACUUAUUAUUUUUCCAUAAGGCCCUAGUAAAACUGCAUAAUAUUUAACUAGGGUACAAUUAUAAAAGUUAUGUGUAAAGUUUAACUGCCUUAAUUCAUGUAUAAGAAUGCCUGGGUAUUUCCUUUGGCUGAGUGUUUCAACACACAAUUUAUUUGCUCAUGUGAAAGUCCUAAUAAUGGGAUAAUGGCAAUGACUUGGAAAUUCAUGUAAUUAAAAAAAUAUUACCAACUAUUUUAAAAGGUUAAUUUUAGAAGCAAUUUUAUUAGAUUAUUUUGAGGAUCAAAUGUUUAUUAUCUCUCCAUUGGCUAGUUACUGAAUCAUACUGUUAUCUUUUAAGAGUCUUAAUGUAAUUUACAGAGAUUUUUGAGCUUUUUGUUUGUUUGUGUGCAAGUACCCAAAUUAGUUGGUGUUUCUUAAGAAAAAAAAUUAUAUGGUAGAGGGUAGAGACUCUCUGAAAGUAAGUUUGAAAGUCACCUUGAAUCUAAAUUUGAAAGGCACUUUCCUAAGUCUCACCUGACUGGUAUUUGCUUUCUGUUUGCUCUGAUUUGUUGAACCUCCUAGUUUCAAAGGUUAAGUGUAAACUUCGGUAGUGUGUCUGCAUUUCAGAGAACUGAAAGUUAAAGUGAGGGUCAUCAUCUUCUCAUACAGUACAGCUCAGGGUUUGCUUUGAAAGCUCAUCAGUGUUGUAAUUUGACAGUGAACAGUAAUGUUUGUCUAAGAGGAUUGGUGGCCAGAAAUAAGCCACAGUGCCUAAUGAGACACAGGGACCCGGCUGGGCAAGAUGCCACAGCAUUUCUGGCGUGUGCCUUUCUCAUAAGCAAAAUGGCUUCAGACCGAAGAGGAUGGUCACAGAGUCUGUGAGGAAUUAGAGGUCAGAGUGGAGUUUUCAAACUUAAUGGAGAAAGAUCUAAGUAAGCCCUGGAUUUUGAAAUGAGUGAAUUUGUCAAGCUGUGACCUCCUGCAAAUCAGAUGGGGAAUGUCUGUGGAUGUGUAAGAGCUGAGAAAGAAGAACAGUAUUUAGAUCCUGCCAAAACUCCUCUGAGCCCCGAAGAAUACUCUCCCCGAAGAAAAUAUUUCAGAAGAAAACCGAUCAAAACAAUUGGAGGUGACACAGAGUCAGUAGAGCCAAACAAUGAAAAGGAAGGCACGAAGAAGAGAGGCAGUCAGCUUUCAAAAGAACAGCCAGCUCUUUUAUCCAGGGGACUGGUACAGGAGGAAUCUGUUACCCCAAACCUCUCACUGCAAGAUGGUAUUCAGCAAGAGAAGACAGAAGUUGUAGCUGACAGUGUUAAACACAAACUUCUGCCGAGUGCUGCGAGCAGUUGGUCUUACCGUGUGAACAUUUCUCCUGCUGAAGACGGUGAAAAAGAAGUAAAAGUUAGUGAACUGGAUGCAAGGAUUUCAGAAAAAGACAGCACUCCAUAUUGCACAAGGAGGAAGAAGCAUUUAGACGAUGUCAACACAGGAGAAAUAACAUUCCAGGAAAAAACUGAUGUUUUUCCUUCUCGAAAGGCAGCCAGCUUAAGUUGUAUUCACCAUGGUACAGAGAGAGCACUUGAAAAAAGUGAGCUUGCUGAAGAGUCAUCAGAAAGUUAUAGCAGUGUUCAAGAAAGGCAAAGCACUGAGAGAUUUUGCCCUCAUGCAGUUCACCAGUUUCAGUUUAAAAAGAGGAGAUGCCAUUCUCUCGGUGCUAGUGUGUCCCCUGUUUCCAAGGACACAAAUGGAAACGAGAUAUCUGAUAUCCAUGUUACUGGAGAGUCAGAGGAUAUGUCUGCAAAGGAGAGAUUGCUACUGUGGACACAGCAGGCAACAGAGGGUUAUGCUGGAAUUCGAUGUGAAAAUUUCACUACCUGCUGGAGAGAUGGAAAACUAUUUAAUGCCAUCAUUCACAAAUACAGGCCGGACCUGAUAGACAUGAAUACUGUUGCUGUUCAAAGCAACCUUGCAAAUUUAGAGCACGCUUUUUAUGUAGCUGAAAAAAUUGGUGUUAUAAGACUUCUGGACCCUGAAGAUGUUGAUGUCUCCUCACCUGAUGAAAAAUCAGUAAUAACUUAUGUUUCAUCUCUCUAUGAUGCAUUUCCUAAAGUCCCUGAAGGUGGUGAAGGCAUUGGUGCAAAUGACGUUGAAGUCAAAUGGAUCGAAUACCAGAAUAUGGUGAACUACCUCAUCCAGUGGAUUAGACACCAUGUGACCACAAUGUCUGAGAGAACAUUUCCUAAUAAUCCUGUGGAACUAAAGGCACUUUAUAAUCAGUAUUUACAGUUUAAAGAAACAGAGAUUCCACCAAAGGAGACAGAAAAAUCCAAAAUUAAACGCCUAUAUAAAUUAUUAGAGAUUUGGAUAGAAUUUGGACGCAUCAAACUCCUUCAAGGUUAUCAUCCAAAUGACAUAGAAAAAGAGUGGGGGAAACUCAUUAUUGCCAUGCUCGAGAGGGAGAAGGCACUUCGCCCAGAAGUAGAAAGGUUGGAAAUGUUGCAGCAGAUUGCCAACCGAGUUCAGAGGGACAGUGUCAUCUGUGAAGACAAACUGAUUCUUGCCCGGAAUGCUCUCCAGUCUGACUCUAAAAGAUUAGAAUCAGGGGUGCAGUUUCAGAAUGAAGCAGAAAUUGCCGGGUAUAUACUUGAAUGUGAGAACCUUUUACGCCAGCAUGUAAUUGAUGUACAGAUUCUUAUUGAUGGGAAAUAUUACCAGGCAGAUCAAUUGGUACAGAGGGUUGCAAAACUACGUGAUGAAAUUAUGGCCUUAAGGAAUGAAUGUUCCUCUGUGUACAGCAAAGGACGCCUGCUGACGACGGAACAGACGAAGCUCAUGAUAUCAGGAAUCACCCAGAGUUUAAACUCAGGAUUUUCACAGACCUUACACCCCAGUCUGAACUCAGGGCUGACCCAGAGUUUAACACCUUCCUUGACCUCUUCCAGUGUGACUUCUGGCCUGUCAUCAGGGAUGACUUCCCGCCUAACUCCGUCUGUCACUCCAGCUUAUACACCUGGUUUCCCAUCAGGAUUAGUUUCAAAUUUCGGUUCAGGAGCAGAGCCAAAUUCAUUGCAAACUCUGAAGUUGAUGCAGAUCCGAAAACCCCUUCUAAAGUCUUCUUUGCUGGAUCAAAAUUUAACAGAAGAGGAAGUCAACAUGAAAUUUGUUCAGGAUCUUUUGAAUUGGGUUGAUGAGAUGCAGGUACAGCUGGACCGCACUGAAUGGGGCUCAGAUUUGCCAAGUGUUGAAAGCCAUUUAGAAAAUCAUAAAAAUGUUCACAAAGCUAUUGAAGAAUUUGAAUCUAGCCUUAAAGAAGCUAAAAUCAGUGAGAUUCAAAUGACAGCGCCUCUUAAACUAACUUAUGCAGAAAAGUUGCACAGAUUAGAGAGUCAGUAUGCAAAACUCUUGAAUACAUCCAGGAAUCAGGAGCGGCACCUCGAUACACUCCAUAAUUUUGUAAGUCGUGCAACUAAUGAACUUAUUUGGUUGAAUGAAAAAGAAGAAGAGGAAGUUGCUUAUGACUGGAGUGAGAGAAAUACUAACAUAGCAAGGAAAAAAGAUUAUCAUGCCGAAUUAAUGAAAGAACUCGAUCAAAAGGAAGAAAAUAUUAAAUCUGUUCAGGAGAUAGCAGAGCAGCUACUUCUGGAAAAUCACCCAGCCCGGUUAACUAUAGAAGCCUACAGAGCGGCCAUGCAGACGCAGUGGAGCUGGAUCCUACAGCUCUGCCAGUGUGUGGAGCAGCACAUAAAGGAGAACACGGCAUAUUUCGAGUUUUUCAAUGAUGCCAAAGAAGCUACUGAUUACUUGAGGAACCUCAAAGAUGCUAUUCAGCGGAAGUACAGCUGUGAUCGAACAAGCAGCAUUCACAAGCUGGAAGACCUUGUUCAGGAAUCAAUGGAAGAGAAAGAAGAACUUCUGCAGUACAAAAGCACAGUGGCAACCUUGAUGGGGAAAGCGAAAACAAUAAUUCAGCUGAAGCCAAGGAAUUCUGACUGUCCUCUCAAAACUUCCAUUCCAAUCAAAGCUAUUUGCGACUACAGACAAAUUGAGAUAACCAUUUACAAAGAUGAUGAGUGUGUUUUGGCGAAUAACUCUCAUCGUGCUAAAUGGAAGGUCAUUAGUCCUACUGGGAAUGAGGCUAUGGUCCCAUCUGUGUGCUUCACUGUUCCUCCACCAAACAAAGAAGCAGUUGACCUGGCAAACAGAAUUGAGCAACAGUAUCAGAAUGUCCUGAGUCUUUGGCAUGAGUCUCACAUAAACAUGAAGAGUGUAGUAUCCUGGAAUUAUCUCAUCAAUGAAAUUGACAAAAUUCGAGCUAGCAAUGUGGCGUCAAUAAAGACAAUGUUACCUGGUGAACAUCAGCAAGUUCUGAGUAAUCUACAGUCUCGCUUUGAAGAUUUUCUAGAAGACAGCCAGGAAUCCCAAAUAUUUUCAGGCUCAGAUAUAACACAACUGGAAAAGGAGGUUAAUGUAUGUAAGCAGUAUUAUCAAGAACUUCUUAAAUCUGCAGAAAGAGAGGAGCAAGAAGAAUCAAUUUAUAAUCUCUAUAUCUCCGAAGUUCGAAACAUUAGACUUCGGUUAGAGAACUGUGAAGACCGAUUGAUUAGACAGAUCCGAACUCCCCUGGAAAGAGAUGAUUUGCAUGAAAGUGUGUUCAGAAUCACAGAGCAGGAGAAACUAAAGAAAGAACUGGAACGACUGAAAGAUGAUUUGGGAACAAUCACAAAUAAAUGUGAAGAAUUUUUCAGUCAAGCGGCAGCCUCCCCGUCAGUUCCUACCUUACGGUCUGAGCUCAGUGUGGUCGUUCAGAACAUGAACCAAGUCUACUCUAUGUCUUCCACUUACAUAGAUAAGUUGAAAACUGUCAAUUUGGUGUUAAAAAACACUCAAGCUGCAGAAGCCCUUGUCAAACUCUAUGAAACUAAACUGUGUGAAGAAGAAGCAGUUAUAGCUGACAAGAAUAAUAUUGAGAAUCUAAUAAGUACUUUAAAGCAAUGGAGAUCUGAAGUAGAUGAAAAGAGAGAGGUAUUCCAUGCAUUAGAGGAUGAGUUGCAGAAGGCUAAAACCAUCAGUGAUGAAAUGUUUAAAACAUAUAAAGAACGGGACCUUGAUUUUGACUGGCACAAAGAAAAAGCAGAUCAAUUAGUUGAAAGAUGGCAAAAUGUUCACGUGCAGAUUGACAACAGGUUACGAGACUUAGAGGGCAUUGGCAAAUCGCUGAAGUACUACAGAGACACCUAUCACCUUUUAGAUGAUUGGAUCCAGCAGGUUGAAACUACUCAGAGAAAAAUUCAGGAAAACCAGCCUGAAAAUAGUAAAACCCUAGCCACACAGUUGAAUCAACAGAAGAUGCUGGUGUCCGAAAUAGAAAUGAAACAGAGCAAAAUGGAUGAGUGUCAAAAAUAUGCAGAACAGUACUCAGCUACAGUGAAGGACUAUGAAUUACAAACAAUGACCUACCGGGCCAUGGUAGAUUCACAACAAAAAUCUCCAGUGAAACGCCGAAGAAUGCAGAGCUCAGCAGAUCUCAUUAUUCAAGAGUUCAUGGAUCUAAGGACUCGGUAUACUGCUCUGGUCACUCUCAUGACACAAUAUAUUAAAUUUGCUGGUGAUUCAUUGAAGAGGCUGGAAGAGGAGGAGAAUUCACUGGAAGAAGAAAAGAAAGAACAUGUUGAUAAAGCCAAAGAACUGCAGAAAUGGGUUUCAAAUAUCAGCAAGACAUUGAAAGAUGGAGAGAAGGCUGGAAAAUCUCCCUUCUCUAAGCAAAAGCUAUCCAGUGAGGAACUAUCAACCAAGAAGGAACAAUUAUCUGAAGCACUUCAAACCAUGCAGCUGUUUUUGGCUAAACAUGGAGACAAAAUGACAGAUGAAGAAAGAAUUGAACUGGAAAAACAAGUGAAAACUCUUCAAGAAGGUUAUAAUUUAUUAUUCAGUGAAUCUCUGAAACAACUGCAAGAAUCACAAACCUCAGGAGAUGUAAAGGUAGAGGAAAAGCUGGAUAAAGUGAUUGCAGGCACCAUUGAUCAGACAACUGGAGAAGUCCUUUCCAUCUUUCAGGCAGUUUUAAGAGGCCUCAUUGACUAUGACACAGGAAUUAGGUUGCUUGAGACACAACUACUGAUUUCUGGUCUCAUUUCACCAGAAUUAAAAAAGUGCUUUGAUCUUAAAGAUGCUGAAAGUCAUGGCCUUAUCGACGAACAAAUUGCGUGCCAACUCCGAGAACUAAAUAAAGCUAAGGAGAUCAUUUCUGCUGUGUCAUCUACUAGCAUUCCAGUACUGGAUGCUCUGGCUCAAAGCGCGAUAUCAGAAUCCAUGGCCAUCAAAGUUCUUGAGAUACUGCUUUCCACAGGCUUUCUGGUUAUUCCAGCCACAGGAGAACAGUUGACCCUACAGAAGGCUUUCCAACAGAACCUGAUUUCCUCCACAUUAUUUUCUAAAGUCCUGGAAAGACAAACUAUGUGCAAAGACCUUAUUGACCCCUGUACCUCUGAGAAGGUGUCUUUAAUAGAGAUGGUGCAAAGAAGUAUUUUACAAGAAAACACUGGAAUGUGGCUUCUACCCGUGAGACCACAAGAAGGAGGCAGAAUAACAUUAAAAUGUGGAAGAAGCAUAAGCAUUUUAAGAGCAGCUCACGAAGGUCUCAUAGACCGUGAAACCAUGUUUAGGCUAUUGGGGGCACAGCUUCUUUCUGGAGGUCUGAUCAGUGGCCACUCCGGUCAAAGAAUGACUGUCGAAGAGGCAGUGGCAGAAGGGGUGAUUGACAGAGACACUGCCAGCAGUGUUCUCACAUACCAGGUUCAAACUGGUGGCAUCAUCCACUCAAACCCUGCCAAGCGUUUAACUGUGGACGAAGCAGUCCAGUGUGAUUUAAUCACUUCCAGCAGUGCUCUUCUGGUACUAGAGGCUCAGCGAGGCUACGUGGGACUCAUUUGGCCCCACUCUGGCGAAAUAUUUCCCACAUCUUCGUCCUUGCAGCAAGAGUUGAUUACAAAUGAAUUGGCCUACAAAAUCCUGAAUGGAAGGCAGAAAAUAGCUGCCCUUUAUAUUCCAGAAAGUUCUCAAGUCAUUGGUUUGGAUGUUGCUAAACAGCUGGGGAUUAUAGAUAAUAACACAGCAUUGAUUUUAAAGAAUAUAACACUGCCUGACAAAAUGCCAGAUCUAGGAGAUUUAGAAACUUGUAAAAACACCAGAAGAUGGCUCUCGUUUUGUAAAUUCCAGCCAUCAACAGUUCAUGAUUAUAGGCAGGAAGAGGAGGUUUUUGAUGGAGAAGAGCCAGUGGCAACUCAGAGCUCAGAACAAACUAAAAAAUUAUUCCUGUCUUAUUUGAUGAUAAAUAGCUAUAUGGAUGCAAACACAGGGCAGAGGCUUUUGCUGUACGAUGGAGACUUGGAUGAGGCUGUUGGCAUGCUGCUGGAAGGCUGUGAUACAGAAUUGCAUGGGGACACACCCAUAAAAGAUUAUCUUGAUGUCUUAAACUUUCUUAAUAAUGCUCCAAGUAAAGAAAAGGAUGAAUGUACAGUUUCACCAGGUCGUUUUGAUCAAUGUCAUUGCAGGGAGCCUAAACCUGAAGAGACCCCUGAAAAUAAAAACUGUGCCAUAGACAAAGAAUUUCAUGAAAUGGGAAAUAAUGUUAUCAGUAGUGAAUUCUGUCAGUCAGAAAGCCCAGCAAAUAUAACAUCAAUUGAUCAUAAAGUUAACAGUUCCUCCAGUGUGUGUGUUCCCAAUCCCAUAUCAUAUUUAACACAGACUGAACUUGCAGAAGUUAGCAUGCUUAGACAUGACUCUGAAAACAUACUUAAACACUGUGAAAAUCAGACUCCAGUUGAAACUAACGAACAUGCAAAUGAAUGUAGUCAUUCUAAAGACAUUACAAACUUUGCAAGUGAUUUGAUAACAAACCCUAUUGUGAGAUCAAAAGAGGGUAGAUUCUGUGAUUGGAAUGAAACAGAGAAUGGAGAUAAUGCAAACAGGGAUUCACUUACCUUUGACUAUUCCCCCAGGCUAAGCGCCUUGUUAACUCAUGACAAACUGAGGCACAGUCGGGGAGGUUUUAAUGAGGCACACACCCCGGACAGUAGUGGCAACAAAUGUGACACCUCUACAUCGUCAUUCAAUGACCAAACCAUGUUAUCGGGUCAUAGAAUGGGAGAAAAAUUUCAAGACCAGUUUCUGGGAAUCGCAGCUAUCAACAUUAGCUUACAGGGAGAGGACUCUGGACAGAAAGCUUUAAAUAUCGGUUGUAGUAAUCCUCAAGUAUAUCACAGUGAUAAAUAUAUGUCAUAUAGUUCUGGCGAGGAUGAAAAAAGACAUACUGCUUCUCAGCAGAAACCUGAACGUGAGCAGAAUGAGGCUGAAUUAGAAGAGUACUCCUGUGCAGCUCCUGUUUUGGGGACACCAUUGCUUGAAGAAACCGUGAGUGCCGGUGACUAUGAAACGUCACUGCUGGAUGGUCAGAGGAGUGACACAGGAACAGACACUGAUAGUGAUGAUGACUUUUAUGAUACCCCCUUGUUUGAAGAUGAUGACCAUGAUUCUCUGCUUCUUGAAGGCGAUGAUCGGGAUGGUUUGCAACCUGAGGACUAUGACACACUGCAAGAGGAAAACGAUGGGAUGGCUCCUCCCGGUGAUGUUUUUUAUGAUGUUUCAAAAGGGAAUGAGAAUUCUGUGGUUCCCCAGGAGGGACUGGUUGGUAGCUUAAGUAUGAGGGGCAAAGCACAGUGUCUUCAGGAUUUUCUCAUAGGUAUUGAGAAAGCUGAAUUAGAUUCUGGUGAAGGAAUACAUUUAGAUUCAUUUAGUUCAGAGAAAGCCAACGGACGGUCCCUAGAAACUGUAUUAGAAAGGGAAUGCACAAAUACCCUUGAAGGUGAUGAGUCUGACUCACUGACUGAUUAUGAAAUUGUAGAAAAGAAAGAGAGCUUCAGUGCUUCAUUAAAAUUUGAUGACACUGGUAGUUGGAAAGGAAGAAAAGAAGAGUAUGUAACUGGACAAGAAUUUCAAUCUGAUACUGAUCAUUUAGAUUCUGUGCAAAGUGAAGAAAGUUAUGGGGAUUAUGUAUGUGACAGUAAUGAUCAGGCUGAUGACGAUGAUGAUGGUGGUGCUGAUGACCAUGGCGAGGGUGAUUUCAUCGAUGUUGGUGUUGAAGGAGGAGGAGGAGGAGUGGGAGAUGAGAACAGAAAGCUCAGGUGCCAAGAUGAGACUGAAGAUACGGAUAUCCAGUUGUGUGCCUCUAUUGCAAGUGAAAAGGAAAACAAUGAUGAAAGUCAAAGUAUUAAUAAAAUGAUUCUCCUGGAUAAAAGGCAUGAUUAUAGUUUUAUAGAAAAACAGCAAGGUGAAACUGUUUUACAGCUGGAAUCAACUGGUAAGAGUAGCUUAGUUACCGAAAGAAGCAACGCUCCAGCAUAUACAACUGAGAUUGUUGGAAAAGGCAAAGAAAAUCUGUUGAAUGAUGAGGUAACACUUAAGGAUAUAUUGCUGCCUACCAUUAAAGAUGCUGCAUCUGAAAAAACCUUUGACCCUGUAAAUAUUUCAUCUAACAAUAAUAUCAGUUCAACUUCUGAAUUAGAUAAUCUGACAAAAACAGAGGUUAAGCUGAUUCAAGAGCCACAAUCUACUGACUCUGUGAAAGGUAGAGAUCAAUGUUUUGAGAACGUAGCACCUAAAGUUGACUCAUCUUUGGACAAAAUCAUUUAUUCUGAGCCUGAUUUAAUAGGAGAAGCUGCUGAGGGAAGCCAUUUUUCAUUCAUAGCUUCUGUCACUGACAAAGAUCAUGAAGGAAAUGGAAGAGAUCUUAUUAAAGGGAGAAAUAGAAAAAAUGAUGCACCAAUAGAAGAUGAAACAUCAAUUCAGAAAACUUACUUGGGUAAAGGAGAAGUGCUGGUUGAAGGUCUAGUAGAAGAAGAAAAUAAAUGUCUCAAACAUUUGCCUACUAAAAGUACAAGGGAUAGUCCCGAUUUAGUUAAUAGUCCACUUCCAUUUCCACCAAUCACAAACAACGAAGAACUUAAUCAGAAAGGAAGCCUUCAAAAAGCAACUGUGGCUCCUAAACAUGAACAAGAGAAUCUACAAACAGUGGUUGGUAAAAGUCCUGUGCAGUUUGAGAACCUUGAAGAAAUAUUUGACACAUCAGUUUCUAAAGUUAGCAGUGAUGACAUUUCUUCAGACAUUCCAUCCUCUGAAGAGAGUACGCAUAUUGAGAAACAUUCACUCACUGAUGGACCUGAAAAAGAGCUUGAUUUGUUUACUUAUUUAAAACAUCGUGCUAAAAAUAUAAAAGCAAAAGAUCUGCCGAAACCCAAUGAAGAUGUCCCAAGCUGUGCUUCAAUAGCUGCCCCUCCCAUGAAAGAGCAUUUGCAAUUAAGAGUUAAUAAUGCAGAAGAGAAGUCAACUCAUUCCCAAGAAAACUCGCCUCUAAAUGAGAUGGUCCAGUGUAAUGAUCUUUGUACUGAAGAAAGCAUCUCAGAAGGAGGAACAGAAAUUCCUCCGUUUGCACCAGCCAGUAAAGAAACCACACUUUCCAUCUUACCUCUUAGAAAUGUGGAAGACCUUGGAAAAAAUACUGAUUUUGUGCCAUCAGAGCUCUGUAGAAAUGGAACAAGAAAUGAUAACUCCAGUAACACUUUAGAAACUGACUACUCAUCCUUAGAAAUUAACAACGAGAAAGAAAGAACUGAGGAACAGCCACCAAAAGAACAAGCCUUGUCUCCAAGACCCCAAGAAAAGGAGGUUCAGAUUCCUGAAUUGUCUCAGGUAUUUGUUGAGGAUAUAAAGGAUAUCUUAAAAAGCAGGUUGAAAGAAAGUCAUAGUAAUCCUCAAGAGGUUGAAGAACCUUCAGCCUGUGUAGACACUAGGAUUUUAAUUCAAAACCUAAUUAAAAUGGUUAGCACAUCACAGUUGGUAACCGAAGCAUCUAAUAUACCCAGUGACUCUAAAAUCAGUGACUAUACUGGAGUUUCCCCCAUUACUAGUUCAUCGGAUCUAAGAGCGGAGAGUAGAGAUGAUCCUAUUGCAAAUCUUAAGUCUCAGCUUCUCCUUGCCAUACUGAAGCAAAAUCAACAUAGCCAAAAGAUUCCAGGAACAUUUGAAUUGAUGAGAGAAUUAACUCAAAUGGAGUAUGACCUCGGCAAAAGAGGGGUUUCAUCUAAAGUCCUUCCACUACCACUUGAAAAUAUUUUCUGCAAGCUGCUUGCUGGUGGAUAUUCAGAAAAAGUAGAACAGGUUGGAGAUUUGAAUCAAAAAGCAUGUACUUCUGAGAUGGUGAAAGAAAAGCCACACGUUCUCGAUGACCUUAAAAGCAAAGAAGGAAACCACUGUUCUCUUAAUUUACAAACUAUAAAAGAAAUUGGACUAGAAAGUUCUACUGUGUGUGCAUCAGCAUUGCCAAGAGAUGAGAAGCUUGAGGAGCUAUGCAAUGAUUCCCCAAACCAUCUGGAAUGUAUUUCAGAGUUGAAGCGAAUGACUUCUGGAGACAGCUCAAUGGAACAAUUUUCCAGCGAGUUGCAGCAGUGUUCACAACACACUGAAAAAAUGCAUGAGUAUUUGGCUUUGCUUCAAGAUAUGAAACCCCCCUUAGACAACCAGGAGUCUCUGGAUAACAAUCUAGAAACUUUGAAGAAUCAGUUUAAACAGUUAGAGACAUUUGAAUUGGGGUUGGCUCCAAUUGCUAUUAUUUUAAGAAAAGAUAUGAAGUUGGCAGAAGAUUUCUUAAAGUCUCUUCCCAGUGACUUUCCCAGAGAGCAUCUUGAGGAAUUGAGUGCAAGCCACCAGAGUUUGCAGACCGCCUUCUCUUCCCUCAGCAACAUGUCUUCAGAAAGAAGGGAACAGAUCAUGAUUGCAAUUGACUCUGAAAUGUCUAAACUAUCAGUUUCCCAUGAAGGAUUUCUGCAUAAACUUAAGUCAUUCUCAGACUGGAUAUCAGAGAAGAGCAAAUCUGUGAAGGAUAUUGAGAUUGUGAAUGUUCAAGAUGCUGAACAUGUGAAGAAAAGUUUGGAGUUUCUCAAGAAUAUAAUAAAAGAACUUGGACAUACCAAAAUGCAGCUGGAAACUACUGCCUUUGACGUGCAGUUCUUCAUUUCUGAAUAUGCACAAGAUCUGUCUCCCAACCAAAACAAACAACUGCUGGGGCUCUUAAACACAACUCAGAAGUGUUUUCUGGAUGUACAGGACUCAGUAACUACCCAGGUGGAACGUUUAGAGACUCAGUUACAGCUAGAACAAGAUCUUGAUGACCAGAAGAUUGUGGCAGAGCGUCAGCGGGAGUACAAAGAGAAACUCCAAGGCAUUUGCGAUCUCCUCACCCAAACUGAAAACCGGCUGAUUGGUCACCAAGAAGCUUUUGUGAUUGGAGAUGGCACAGUUGAGUUAAAGAAGUACCAGUCCAAGCAAGAGGAAUUACAGAACGAUAUACAAGGAAGUGCACAGGCAUUGGCAGAAAUAGUGAAAAACACAGAGAACUUCUUAAAGGAGAAUGGUGAAAAGCUUUCACAAGAAGAUAAGGCUUUGAUUGAACAGAAACUUAAUGAAGCUAAGAUAAAGUGUGAACAGCUUAAUUUAAAAGCAGAACAGUCGAAAAAGGAGCUGGAUAAAGUUGUGACGACAGCAAUCAAGGAAGAAACUGAAAAGGUUGCAGCUGUGAAGCAGCUGGAAGAAAGCAAAGCCAAGAUAGAAAACCUUUUAGACUGGUUGUCCGAUGUCGACAAAGGCUCAGAAAGGGCAGAGACAAAGCACAAACAGGUGAUUGAGCAGAAUGGGACCCAUUUUCAAGAAGGCAAUGGCAAGUCGAUGAUUGGAGAAGAGGAUGAAGUUAAUGGAAACCUGCUGGACACUGAUAUAGAUGGGCAAGUUGGAACCACUGAGGAGAAUCUGAACCAGCAAUACCAGAAAGUGAAGGCCCAACAUGAGAAGAUCAUCUCUCAGCACCAAGCAGUCAUCGUGGCCACUCAGUCUGCACAAGCCUUGCUCGAGAAACAGGGUCACUAUCUCUCCCCCGAGGAAAAAGAGAAACUGCAGAAGAACAUGAAAGAACUGAAAGCACAUUAUGAAACUGCGCUGGCUGAGUCAGAGAAGAAAAUGAAGUUAACACGCUCUCUCCAGGAAGAAUUAGAAAAGUUCGAUGCGGAUUAUACCGAGUUUGAGCACUGGCUGCAGCAGUCAGAACAAGAACUUGAAAACCUGGAGGCAGGUGCAGAUGACUUCAAUGGUUUGAUGACUAAAUUGAAAAGGCAGAAGAGUUUCUCAGAAGAUGUCAUUUCUCACAAAGGUGACUUGAGGUACAUCACAAUUUCUGGAAACAGAGUGUUAGAAGCUGCCAAGUCUUGCAGCAAGAGGGAUGGCAGCAAGGUUGACAAGGCUAAUAUUGACACUUCUGCAACCCACAGAGAAGUUCAGAGCAAAUUGGAUCAUGCUACUGAUCGGUUCAGGUCGCUCUACUCUAAGUGCAAUGUUCUUGGAAAUAAUCUUAAAGAUCUGGUGGAUAAAUAUCAACACUAUGAAGAUGCUUCGUGUGGACUUAUUUCCGGGCUCCAGGCCUGUGAGGCCACAGCGAGCAAACACUUAUCUGAACCUAUUGCUGUGGACCCCAAAAAUCUGCAGAGACAAUUAGAGGAGACCAAGGCUCUGCAAGGACAAAUAUCAAGUCAGCAGGUUGCUGUAGAGAAACUGAAAAAAACAGCUGAAGUGCUUUUGGAUGCCAGGGGAUCUUUACUUCCAGCCAAAAAUGAUAUCCAGAAAACACUUGAUGACAUUGUUGGGAGAUACGACGAUCUGUCCAAGUCUGUUAAUGAACGAAAUGAAAAACUCCAGGUAACCCUGACCCGUUCACUGAGUGUGCAGGAUGGCUUGGAUGAAAUGCUGGACUGGAUGGCAAGUGUGGAAAAUUCUCUGAAAGAACAAGGCCAAGUGCCUUUAAACUCCGCUGCUCUUCAGGAUAUCAUCAGUAAAAACAUUAUGUUGGAACAAGAUAUUGCAGGUCGUCAGAGCAGUAUCAAUGCCAUGAAUGAAAAAGUAAAAAAAUUUAUGGAAACAACAGACCCAUCCACUGCGUCCUCACUGCAGGCCAAAAUGAAGGACUUGUCUGUUCGGUUUGCGGAAGCAAGUCAUAAACACAAAGAAAAACUUGCCAAAAUGGAGGAGCUAAAAACCAAAGUAGAACUGUUUGAGAACCUCUCAGAAAAGCUCCAGACAUUUUUGGAAACAAAAACUCAGGCUCUUUCUGAAGUAGAUGUGCCAGGAAAAGAUGUUACUGAAUUGUCUCAGCAUAUGCAGGAAUCAACUUCUGAAUUCUUAGAACACAAGAAAGACCUUGAAGUUUUGCAUAAUCUCCUGAAGGAGAUAUCCAGCCAUGGCCUACCAGGUGAUAAGGCUCUGGUUUUUGAAAAAACAAAUAAUUUGUCAAAGAAAUUCAAAGAAAUGGAGGAUACCAUCAAAGAAAAAAAAGAAGCUGUAACUUCUUGUCAAGAACAAUUGGAUGCUUUCCAAGUCCUUGUGAAAUCAUUGAAAUCAUGGAUAAAAGAAACAACAGAAAGAGUUCCCAUUGUGCAGCCUUCUUUUGGUGCUGAGGAUUUAGGAAAAUCAUUGGAAGAAACUAAGAAAUUACAAGAAAAGUGGAGCUUAAAAACACCGGAGAUUCAGAAAGUGAACAACAGUGGGAUCUCACUAUGUAACCUAAUAAGUGCUGUGACUACCCCUACAAAGGCGAUAGCAGCAGUUAAAUCAGGUGGAGUAGUAUUAAAUGGUGAAGGAACAGCUGCAAAUACUCAAGAAUUUUUGGCAAAUAAAGGUUUAACAUCCAUUAAAAAGGAUAUGAGUGACAUAAGUCAUGAUUAUGAAGAUCUUGGCCUCUUACUCAAGGACAAAAUAGCAGAAUUGAAUUCUAAACUCUCCAAAUUGCAAAAAGCUCAGGAAGAAUCAAGUACAAUGAUGCAGUGGUUACAGAAAAUGAACAAAACUGCAACCAAAUGGCACGAGACACCCACACCUACAGAUACUGAAGCCGUGAAGACUCAAGUGGAGCAGAAUAAGUCAUUUGAGGCUGAACUGAAGCAAAAUGUAAACAAAGUGCAGGAGUUGAAAGACAAAUUAACAGAACUGUUGGAGGAGAACCCAGAUACUCCUGAGGCCCCCAAAUGGAAACAGAUGUUGACAGAAAUAGAGUCUAAGUGGCAAGAACUCAAUCAAUUAACAAUUGAUAGACAACAAAAACUGGAAGAAUCCUCCAAUAACCUCACCCAAUUCCAGACUCUAGAGGCCCAGUUAAAACAGUGGCUUGUGGAAAAAGAACUGAUGGUCAGUGUUCUCGGGCCCUUGUCAAUUGACCCAAACAUGCUAAACACGCAAAGGCAGCAAGUACAGAUUCUGCUGCAAGAAUUUGAUACUCGGAAACCUCAGUAUGAACAGCUAACAGCAGCUGGUCAGGGCAUCCUGAGCAGACCUGGAGAAGACCCUUCUUUACAUGGGAUUGUGAAAGAGCAACUGGCAGCUGUGACCCAAAAAUGGGAUAGCCUAACAGGACAAUUGAGUGACAGAUGUGACUGGAUUGACCAAGCCAUUGUUAAAAGCACACAGUAUCAAAGCCUACUGAGAAGCCUUUCUGAUAAACUGAGUGACUUCGAUAAUAAACUCAGCAGCAGUCUGGCCGUGAGCUCGCACCCUGGUGCUAUGAACCAGCAGUUGGAAACAGCCCAGAAGAUGAAGCAGGAAAUAGAGCAGGAAACGAAGCAGAUAAAAGUGGCCCAGGCCCUCUGUGAGGAUCUGUCAGCACUGGUGAAAGAAGAGUACUUGAAGGCAGAACUGAGUAGGCAACUAGAAGGCAUCUUAAAAUCAUUUAAGGAUAUUGAGCAAAAAGCAGAGAACCACGUCCAGCACCUUCAGUCAGCCUGCGCAAGCUCUCAUCAAUUUCAGCAGAUGUCCAGAGAUUUUCAGGCUUGGCUGGAUACGAAGAAAGAAGAGCAAAACAAGUCUCAUCCAAUAUCAGCCAAACUCGAUGUCUUAGAGUCAUUAAUUAAAGAUCAGAAAGACUUCAGUAAAACCUUGACUGCCCAGUCUAAUAUUUAUGAGAAAACCAUUGCAGAAGGUGAAAAUCUGUUAUUAAAAACGCAAGGGUCUGAGAAGGCAGCCUUACAGUUACAGCUUAACACGAUUAAAACCAACUGGGAUGGAUUUAAUAAGCAGGUGAAAGAAAGAGAAGACAAGUUAAAAGAUUCAUUGGAAAAAGCCCUCAAGUAUAAAGAGCAUGUGGAGACUCUCCGGCCGUGGAUAGACAAAUGUCAGAACGACCUGGAGGAAGUAAAAUUUUGCUUGGAUCCUGCUGAAACGGAGAAUUCCAUCGCCAAGGUAAAGUCUCUGCAGAAGGAAAUGGACCAACACUUUGGUAUGGUAGAAUUACUGAACAACACAGCCAACAGCUUGCUCAGUGUCUGUGAGACAGACAAAGAGGUUGUUACAGAUGAGAAUAAAUCACUGAUCCAGAAGGUAGACAUGGUCACUGAACAACUUCACAGUAAGAAAUUCUCCCUGGAGAAUAUGGCUCAGAAGUUUAAGGAAUUUCAAGAAGUUUCCAAAGAAGCUCAAAGGCAGCUUCAGUGUGCAAAGGAACAGCUGGACCUCCAUGAUUCCCUAGGCCCCCAGGCUUACAGUAACAAAAACCUGACCAUGUUGCAGACUCAGCAGAAAUCACUGCAGACCUUGAAGCCUCAGGUGGAUUUGGCCAAAAGACUUGCUCAGGACCUUGUGGUGGAAACCUUGGACUCAAAGGGAACCUCUGAUAUUUUAUUACAAGCAGAGACUUUAGCUCAAGAGCAUAAUGCAAUAAGUCAGCAGGUUGAUGAAAAGUGUUCAUUCUUAGAAACCAAGCUUCAAGGCAUUGGGCAUUUCCAGAAUACCAUCCGAGAAAUGUUUUCUCAGUUUGCAGAGUUUGAUGAUGAACUGGACAGCAUGGCCCCUGUAGGGAGAGAUGUGGAAACAUUGCAAAAGCAAAAGGAGGCUAUAAAAGCUUUUCUGAAGAAACUCGAAGCCCUCAUAGCGAGCAACGACAAUGCCAAUAAGACCUGCAAGAUGAUGCUAGCCACAGAGGAAACAUCUCCUGACCUCGUUGGAAUCAAAAGGGACUUGGAGGCUUUAAGCAAACAAUGCAACAAGUUACUGGACCGAGCCCAAGCCAGAGAAGAGCAGGUGGAAGGGACAAUUGAGCGUCUUGAAGAAUUCUACAGCAAAUUGAAAGACUUUUCUACUCUGCUUCAGAAAGCCGAAGAACAUGAAGAGUCACAAGGUCCCGUUGGCAUGGAAACAGAGACAAUUAAUCAGCAGCUUAAUGUCUUCAAGGUAUUCCAGAAAGAAGAGAUUGAACCCUUGCAGGUUAAGCAGCAGGAUGUAAACUGGUUAGGUCAAGGCCUUAUUCAGAGUGCUGCUAAAAACACCAGCACUCAGGGGUUGGAGCAUGACCUGGAUGAUGUCAAUGCACGGUGGAAGACUCUCAAUAAGAAGGUGGCUCAGCGAGCAGCCCAGCUGCAGGAGGCCUUGCUGCACUGUGGGAGGUUCCAGGACGCCCUGGAGUCCCUGCUCAGCUGGAUGGUGGACACUGAGGAGCUCGUGGCCAAUCAGAAGCCCCCGUCGGCUGAGUUCAAAGUGGUGAAGGCCCAGAUACAAGAGCAAAAGCUUCUCCAAAGAUUGUUGGAUGACCGCAAAUCUACUGUGGAGGUAAUCAAACGAGAAGGAGAAAAAAUCGCUGCAACAGCAGAGCCUGCAGAUAAAGUGAAGAUUUUGAAACAGCUGAGUCUCUUGGAUAGCAGAUGGGAGGCUUUGCUUAAUAAAGCUGAAACAAGGAAUCGUCAGUUGGAAGGUAUCUCGGUGGUAGCACAGCAAUUUCAUGAAACUUUAGAACCACUGAAUGAGUGGCUUACAACCGUGGAAAAGAGGCUGGUGAAUUGUGAACCCAUAGGAACCCAAGCAUCCAAACUUGAGGAACAGAUUGCACAGCACAAAGCCUUAGAAGAUGACAUCAUGAAUCACAAUAAACAUUUACACCAGGCUGUUAGCAUUGGCCAGUCCUUAAAGGUUCUGAGCUCCAGGGAGGAUAAAGAUAUGGUGCAGAUUAAAUUAGACUUCUCUCAAGUAUGGUACAUUGAGAUUCAAGAGAAAAGUCACAGCAGGUCUGAGCUCCUCCAGCAGGCCUUGUGUAAUGCUAAGAUUUUGGGGAAGAUGAAGUUGAGCUGAUGAACUGGCUGAAUGAAGUGCAUGGCAAACUGAGCAAGCUCUCAGUCCAGGAGUACAGCCCCGAGGGGCUGUGGGAGCAGCAGGCUGAACUUCGGGUUCUGCAAGAGGACAUCUUACUCAGGAAACAAAAUGUAGAUCAGGCAUUACUAAACGGUUUAGAACUGCUUAAACAAACCACAGGUGA